AGACGGAGGGUGCAAACGUUGUUCGGAAUCACUGGGCAUAAAGCGCACGUAGGCGGUUCGUAAAGUCAGGUGUGAAAUCCCUCGGCUCAACCGGGGAACUGCAUCUGAUACUGGCGAACUCGAGGAUGGUAGGGGUGAGCGGAACUCCAGGUGGAGCGGUGAAAUGCGUAGAUAUCUGGAGGAACACCGGUGGCGAAGGCGGCUCACUGGACCAUCUCUGACGCUGAGGUGCGAAAGCCAGGGUAGCAAACGGGAUUAGAAACCCCAGUAGUCC
rnacentral:rRNA from 1 species